rnacentral:lncRNA from 10 species
UAAAUGCUGUAUAGGAGGAUCUCAUUGAGAAGAUAUCAUUUGAGCAAAGAUGUAAAGCAAGGGAGGGAAUGAGUCAGUGGCUACAUAGCGAGAGUGUCCUAGGCAGAGGAAACAGCUUCUACAAAAGCCCUGAAGCAAGAGAAUGUUUGAAGUGUUCAAGAAUAAACAGGAGAUGCAGAAUGAAUGGAAUUGAGAGUGAGUGAGGCAGUCGGAUACAAGGUGUGUGAGAGAGACUAAUAUGGGGCAGCACUGAAGACUGCUGACAGCAGCCACAUGAGUGAGCUCAGAGUGGACACAACAGCCCCUUCAGAGGCUGCAGGGAUGGCAGACAGCCUGACUGCAAUGUCGUGAAAGAUGCUGAGGCAGAACCAUGCAGCAAAGUCAUUCCCAGAUUCCUGACUCUCAGAAAAUGUGUGAGAUAAUAAAUGCUAUUAUUUUAAGCUGCUAA